UCAGUCUUCCGAAAAGAUAUCUAACGAAUAAAAAGCUAUUAGAAAAAUCAAAUGAGGUUAAAACAUAUCCACCGGCGGAACCAACAAAAUGAAAAAGAAACUUCUUGAGAAAUACGAUAUACGAUGAUUGGCCAUCAGAUUAUAAAGUAUCAACGCAUUAUGCUGACUUAUUAUCGAAUAAAUACGUGAAAGACCAUGCUGAUGAAUUUCCUACAACUUUUUCAAGCUUGCGCGAAUCGUCAAAUAAAUAAUGAAAAAUCUGAUAGAGAUGAGAAGACAAAUAAUAGCGCAACAUACAGUAUAGAAAAUGUUUAUCUCUUAAGUAGAUUCAUUAGAAAUGUUAAAUCUUCUCGAUGAAUAUCAAUUGAAGUUAUUCAAAUCAAAAACAUUGUGUAGUAUUAUGGGAACUGUAAAUAAAGAAAUGGAAUGAGAAUGAAAAAUGAGAAAU
rnacentral:lncRNA from 1 species